rnacentral:rRNA from 1 species
UACGGAGGGGACUAGCGUUGUUCGGAAUUACUGGGCGUAAAGCGCACGUAGGCGGAUUUGUAAGUCAGGGGUGAAAGCCCGGGGCUCAACCCCGGAAUUGCCUUUAAAACUGCAUCGCUAGAAUUGUGGAGAGGUAAGUGGAAUUCCGAGUGUAGAGGUGAAAUUCGUAGAUAUUCGGAAGAACACCAGUGGCGAAGGCGACUUACUGGACACAUAUUGACGCUGAGGUGCGAAAGCGUGGGGAGCAAACAGG